rnacentral:snoRNA from 1 species
GUUUCCGGUGAUGGUUGCUUUACUCUAAGCCAUGCUAAUUCUGAUCAUAUAUGGAUGUGAUCGAAACAGAAUGUCUCUGAUGGAACA